ACAGUUUAUUGUCCCAACAAACUGUUUAUUGUCGGAAACAACUAUUUGUUGGCAUAGUUUACCCAAGCGCACAAGAAGAAUUGUCUGAAUAAACGAUUCAGUCUAUUCCUUGUUCUUGUGCUGUGCUGAGUAAACAUAUCUGUGAAACAAUUUCUACUUUUUAAUAUAAAAUAUUUUUGAUUCGAUACGUUUUAACCUACUAAUGGUUGUUUGUUUAACCAGACAUUUUUAUCAGAGCUGCAAGAGAAUUAAUACAACUCAUCAGAUAAUUUUGAAAAAGCAAGGUGAGUUCAUUAGUAAUAAAAUAUACAAAUUAUAUAAUACAAUAGUCUAAUGUCCCAAUUGCAUGCUUUCGAAUUCCAAAAAUUGAGAACCGCAAUGAUUCUCAAAUUUUUUUUAAGUAAACAUAUAUUUUUUCAUUCUUUAAAUUAUCCCUUCUUUCUCUAUAAAUCUUUGUUAGGAUCUUCGAUAGAUCAGAAGUUCACAGCAAUAUUGUUUGAUCCCUUUAAGUUUAAUACAAAAAACUACAAAAUUAAAGUCAAUUCCAAAAAAAAAUAUUACAAAACCAAAAUGAUUUGUUUUGUUUGCAACGCUAAAUUUCAUGCUACAAACACACUUAUACAACACUUAAAACAAGAACAUUAUUUAAGCUCUUUUAGCACUUUUCGGUGUAGGGAAAGUUUGUGUACGCAGUCAUUUCAGAAUUUAAGCAGCUAUAAAAAACAUUUAAGUCGAAAACAUAUUCAGGAUAAAUGCUGGAAGGCGUGUUCAAAAUCCAGACUCACUGAUAUAAAGAACUCCACAGCAACAUCGGAUAUUUUAAAGAAAUGGCCCCCUUUAAAAACAUCCUACUGGAUUUCGAUACUUGGACAUGGACUUCGAGUAUAUGUUUAAAAACCACAACUCUCUCCUUGAACGAUGGGAGCACGUAUACUCUAAAAUCCGAGAGUUCCUAACAACGGAAGAUCGAAUUAAAGAAAAAUCAAUAAAGGAAGUUCUGGAUAAAAUAAAGUCUGAUAACACUCCAGAAAACUUUCGAGAUGCCGCUCUUUUGUGGGCACUUCAUGGGUACCUUGUACCCACAUUAAAGUCUGUGCGAAAGGACCGGAAGGGAAUGAAGACAACAUUGAAACCAACCAUCAAGGAUUCCCAGGAAUCAUUCAUUUUUGUUGCAGCCUCUAUCCAGAACGUUGAGGAUCACAUCCAGCACCUUCAACAAAAAGGAGAUAACGUGCAGCCGUUUAUUAUUGUGGUUGGCAAAGAUGUUAUUAAUUUUAAGGAAGUAUUUUUAUAUUUCGAUAGCGUAAAGUUUCCUUUUAUUAGUUUCAUCCGGGCGGUGGACAUUUGUUUUAAAACGUUUUUUCUUUUUAAUUUAGAGUUUCCUAAUCCAAGUUCCAACUUUUGGAACUUUAUUCAGUCAUUGUAUUUUGAUAAUAAGAAAAAAAAUGUUGUACAAAAGCACACAUCCUCCUUAAAGCAAUUAAUGAAUAAUUUUUAUAUUUUUUUAACUUAGAGUUUCCUAAUCCAUUGUACAAAAACACACAUCCUCCUAGCCAUUAAUGAAUAAUGUGGACAUUUGUUUUAAAACGUUCUUCCUUUUUAACUUAGAGUUUCUUUAUCCAGUUCCAACUUUUGGAACUUUAUUCAAUCAUCCUUCCUAACGCAAUCAAUCGAGCCAUUUUUUUCCUUCACUCCUAUCACUGUAACAAGUUUGAGAAGAUACACUUUUCAAAUAAUUUUUGAUUAUAAUAAUUUUUCAUAACUCAUGCACUUCUUUAUCCUUUUCACUCCUAUUAUUACACUUUUCAA